rnacentral:rRNA from 1 species
AGGACGAACGCUGGCGGCGUGCUUAACACAUGCAAGUCAAGGGGGCCCAGCAAUGGGCAACCGGCGAACGGGUGCGUAACACGUGAGCAACCUACCGAAAUGUGGGGGAUAGCCGGCCUAACGGCCGAGUAACACCGCAUACGCUCUCGAUGAGGCAUUUCAUUGAGAGGAAACCUACGGGACAUUUCGAGGGGCUCGCGGCCUAUCAGCUAGUUGGCGAGGUAACGGCUCACCAAGGCAACGACGGGUA